AUUUCUUCGGAAUGAAUUUGAUUAAGUUUAGUGGCGGACGGGUGAGUAACGCGUGAGGAACCUGCCUUUCAGGAGGGGACAACAGAGGGAAACUUCUGCUAAUACCGCAUAACGUAGCGGGGAGGCAUCUUCUUGCUACCAAAGAUUUAUCGCUGAAAGAUGAGCUCGCGUCUGAUUAGCUAGUUGGUGAGGUAACGGCCCACCAAGGCGACGAUCAGUAGCCGGACUGAGAGGUUGAACGGCCACAUUGGGACUGAGAUACGGCCCAGACUCC
rnacentral:rRNA from 1 species